rnacentral:rRNA from 2 species
CGCGUUGGCCCAACUGAUUGAUUGUGCUUGCACAGGAUUGACGUUGGUUUCCCAACGAGUGGCGGACGGGUGAGUAACACGUAGGCAACCUGCCCCGAAGCGGGGGACAACAUUUGGAAACAAGUGCUAAUACCGCAUAACAACUUUGACCGCCUGGUCAAAGCUUAAAAGAUGGUUUCGGCUAUCACUUCGGGAUGGGCCUGCGGCGCAUUAACUUGUUGGUGGGGUAACGGCCUACCAAGGCGAUGAUGCGUAGCCGAGUUGAGAGACUGAUCGGCCACAAUGGGACUGAGACACGGCCCAUACUCCUACGGGAGGCAGCAGUAGGGAAUCUUCCACAAUGGGCGCAAGCCUGAUGGAGCAACACCGCGUGAGUGAAGAAGGGUUUCGGCUCGUAAAGCUCUGUUGUUGAAGAAGAAUGUGCAAGAGAGUAACUGUUCUUGUAUUGACGGUAUUCAACCAGAAAGUCACGGCUAACUACGUGCCAGCAGCCGCGGUAAUACGUAGGUGGCAAGCGUUAUCCGGAUUUAUUGGGCGUAAAGCGAGCGCAGGCGGUUUUCUAAGUCUGAUGUGAAAGCCUUCGGCUUAACCGAAGAAGUGCAUCGGAAACUGGAUGACUUGAGUGCAGAAGAGGGCAGUGGAACUCCAUGUGUAGCGGUGGAAUGCGUAGAUAUAUGGAAGAACACCAGUGGCGAAGGCGGCUGCCUGGUCUGUAACUGACGCUGAGGCUCGAAAGCAUGGGUAGCGAACAGGAUUAGAUACCCUGGUAGUCCAUGCCGUAAACGAUGAGUGCUACGUGUUGGAGGGUUUCCGCCCUUCAGUGCCGGAGCUAACGCAUUAAGCACUCCGCCUGGGGAGUACGACCGCAAGGUUGAAACUCAAAGGAAUUGACGGGGGCCCGCACA